UUUUCCAAGUGACAUUUCUGAACAAGUAAAUAACGAUCCUGGACUCUCUACAGGUGUAUUUCAAGAGGCGUAUGUGCUGCUUCCUCAUUUUUGUUGUGCAUUGAGUUAGUGCAGCAUCUGAAGAUGUUGAAAGACCCAGUGCAUGGAAUAGCCAAGAGUCAGACACAACUGAAUGGAUAUUGUCAUCAGUGAGCAACAGUUUUCCAGGUUUGUCUGUCAAUAUCUGCUUUUCUGAGUAUUUGUCGGCUCAUGGUCAUGAUAUUAAUGAUGAUAAUGUCUAACCAGCUUUUUAUUUGUUGAUUUCUUUCUAAAUUGCUUUUAAUUUUUCCAAACAUCAGAGUCUACUCAAAAAAAUCUUGCUUCUGUAUUAUGAAUCAAAAAAAAAUUCACUAUCCGCUUGUAUAUUCUAAUCUAAUCAUUCUAAUGAAUGAUUUAUUCAUCAUUCUAUUGAAAAAAAUCCUCAGAAGUUUUCUCCAGCAACUCCACUGUACAAAGGGAUCAAUUUGUUUUUGUUUUUUCAGAUUUCAGGUUUAUAACUGGAAAGACCAUAUAUUUACAAAUCAUUGCUGUCAGUAUGGUUUUUGAAUAAUUUCUAAUGGUCUUUGUCUCUAAAAAGCAGAUGCCAUUCUAUUUAAUGAUUACAGUCUCUUUUGCAGCAUUUUUGGUGUCCAGGAAGAUAAACUCUGUUUCUGCCAUCAUUUCUUCAGGUAUUUGCACUGGACUGAUAGUAAUAGCUAAUUUUGUUUUCCUUCAAGCCACUCUUAAAAACUGCCUGGACAAGUUCCUUCAAUUUUCUUGACAACAUUUUGGGAACUGGUUUGAUGUUUUAGAUCUGAGAGAGAAUUACUGACCCAGUCACACAGCUAGAUUUCUGCUUAAAGCAGGGCUAGAAUUCAUCGUCUCUAAUUUUAACAAUUACACCAACCAUUACAUCACCAGCUGGCACGACCCUAUUUAAAAAAAAUAUUGGGCAUAAGAGCAGCUUUUGUAACUUCCACUUUCAAUUAGACGUUACUUCAAUAAGACAUUACUU